rnacentral:rRNA from 1 species
UCCUACGGGGAGGCAGCAGUGGGGAAUUUUGGACAAUGGGGGAAACCCUGAUCCAGCCAUCCCGCGUGUGCGAUGAAGGCCUUCGGGUUGUAAAGCACUUUUGGCAGGAAAGAAACGUCGCGGGUUAAUACCCCGCGAAACUGACGGUACCUGCAGAAUAAGCACCGGCUAACUACGUGCCAGCAGCCGCGGUAAUACGUAGGGUGCAAGCGUUAAUCGGAAUUACUGGGCGUAAAGCGUGCGCAGGCGGUUCGGAAAGAAAGAUGUGAAAUCCCAGAGCUUAACUUUGGAACUGCAUUUUUAACUACCGAGCUAGAGUGUGUCAGAGGGAGGUGGAAUUCCGCGUGUAGCAGUGAAAUGCGUAGAUAUGCGGAGGAACACCGAUGGCGAAGGCAGCCUCCUGGGAUAACACUGACGCUCAUGCACGAAAGCGUGGGGAGCAAACAGGAUUAGAUACCCUGGUAGUCCACGCCCUAAACGAUGUCAACUAGCUGUUGGGGCCUUCGGGCCUUGGUAGCGCAGCUAACGCGUGAAGUUGACCGCCUGGGGAGUACGGUCGCAAGAUUAAAACUCAAAGGAAACUGACGG